GAAACCUUGACCCCUUUUCUUACAUUCUCUUUGAUUCUUCCCCUUUUUUCUUCAUUCCAUCGUUCAUAGAAGAAAAAACGAGGAGAAAAUGGCCCAGACAAAUAGAGGCCAAGCAUCGACAUCUGAAGAAGACAAACUUACCCAUCAAUUAGCUACACAAGACCUCCCACAAGAUGCCUCAAAGCUAAUUGGUCGUGUUAAUCAUGAUAAACUUUGCGACACUGUACAUGAGAAAGUACUAAAUAUUGAUGGUGAUAGAGAUGAAGACCUCUUCACUAUUCCUGCAGCAAAUUAUGAGAUCCCACAAACUGCGCUAGCGAGGACUUUUAACUGCUGAGUGAUGUCUUCUAGUAAGCUUUCUUGAGUGAUGUAAGCGAGAGCAGUCGAUCACAUGUCCUGCUUUUACUACCAUCAGUCAGCCUGUAAAUAACUUAUGCAGAAGCUUUUGUUUGAUCCAUAUCAACCUCUUAUUCUAACAUGUAACAUUUUUUAUGAAUUCUAAUUUACAAUGUAUAUCAUCUGCUCAAUACUUUUCAGAUGAAAGAUAUUGUGAUCUAUCUUAUAACAAUUUCAAAGAUCAUGACUAUGUGAUUGUUGCGAAAAAAAGGAAUCGAUCUUCGAAUUGAUGUGGUCCA